rnacentral:rRNA from 1 species
GAUGAACGCUGGCGGCGUGCCUAAUACAUGCAAGUCGAGCGAACGGACGAGAAGCUUGCUUCUCUGACGUUAGCCGCGGACGGGUGUGUAACACGUGGAUCACCUACCUAUAAUACUGGGAUAACUUCGGGAAACCGGCGCUAAUACCGGAUGAUAUUUUGAACCGCAUGGUUCAAUAGUGAAAGACGGUCUUGCUGUCACUUAUAGCUGGAUCCGCGCUGCAUGAGCUAGUUGGUAAGUUAACGGCUUUCCAAGGCGACUAUGCAUAGCCGACCUGUGAGAGGGGUCGCCGACACUGGAGCGUGGACACGGACCAGGCGCCUGCGAGAGGCAGCAGUAGGGAAUGUGCGGCAGUGGGCGAGAACCUUACAGAGCGGCGCCACGUGAGAGAUAAAGAUCUUCCGAUCGUAAAACUCUGUUAUGGGGGAAAAACAGAUGUGGAAGUAACUGUACACAUCGUGACGGUACCUAAUAAAAAAGCCCCGGCUAACUACGUG